GUGUCUUAGACUAGCCAUGCACGUCUAGUACAAACUAAAUGAUGGUGAAACUGCAAAUGGCUCAUUACAACGGUUAUGAUGUAACCGGGAGUUCCGAUGGAUAUUUCCAGUAACACUAGAACUAAUACAUGUCCCUGCGUUUAUUAGUUUCGCACAGUCCGUCGCUGAGUCAUGGUAAACAGUUGAUCGACUCGACGUCCCGGAACAGUUUCCGCCCCAUCAGCUUCGAUGGUUGGGUAUUGGCCUACCAUUGCAACAACGGGUAACGAGGAAUUAGGGUUUGAUUUCGGAGAGGGAGCCUGAGAAACGGCUACCACAUCUACGGAUGGCAGCAGGCGCGCAAAUUACCCAAUGCAGACACUGUGAGGUAGUGACGAGAAAUAAUAAAGCGGGACUUCUGUUUCGCUAUUAUAAUGAGGGAAUAACCAAAAGGUCAUUCCGAAUAACAAACUGAAUGGGAAAGUCUGGUGCCAGCCACCCCCGGUAAUACCAGCGUCAGU
rnacentral:rRNA from 1 species